GAUUAUCACCAUUCCGGAUUGAAUAUACCCGAUCUCGUCUGAUCUCGGAAGUCAAGCCAUCUCGGGCUUGGUUAGUACUUGGAUGGGUGACCGCUUGGGAAUACCAAGUGUGAUAAGCA
rnacentral:rRNA from 1 species